rnacentral:rRNA from 1 species
AGUGAACGCUGGCGGUAGGCCUAACACAUGCAAGUCGAACGGCAGCACAGUAAGAGCUUGCUCUUACGGGUGGCGAGUGGCGGACGGGUGAGGAAUACAUCGGAAUCUACUUUUUCGUGGGGGAUAACGUAGGGAAACUUACGCUAAUACCGCAUACGACCUACGGGUGAAAGCAGGGGAUCUUCGGACCUUGCGCGAUUGAAUGAGCCGAUGUCGGAUUAGCUAGUUGGCGGGGUAAAGGCCCACCAAGGCGACGAUCCGUAGCUGGUCUGAGAGGAUGAUCAGCCACACUGGAACUGAGACACGGUCCAGACUCCUACGGGAGGCAGCAGUGGGGAAUAUUGCGCAAUGGGCGCAAACCUGAUCCAGCCAUACCGCGUCAGUGAAGAAGGCCUUCGGGUUGUAAAGCCCUUUUGUUGGGAAAGAAAAGCAGCAGGUUAAUACCCCGCUGUUCUGACGGUACCCAAAGAAUAAGCACCGGCUAACUUCGUG